GCUUAAGUAUUUUAAUUAAAAUAUUGUUUUGUGGGAUCAAUGAUAUGGUUAAUAUUACCAUCUUAGGCC
rnacentral:tRNA from 1 species